UACGAAGGGGGCGAGCGUUGUUCGGAAUUACUGGGCGUAAAGGGCGCGCAGGCGGCCUUAGAAGUCAGAUGUGAAAGCCCCGGGCUCAACCUGGGAAUGGCAUUUGAUACUCUGAGGCUGGAGUACGGGAGAGGAGAGUGGAAUUCCCAGUGUAGAGGUGAAAUUCGUAGAUAUUGGGAAGAACACCGGUGGCGAAGGCGGCUACUCUGGACCGUAACUGACGCUGAGGCGCGAAGCGUGGGAGCAACAGG
rnacentral:rRNA from 1 species